UACGAAGGGGGCUAGCGUUGCUCGGAAUCACUGGGCGUAAAGGGUGCGUAGGCGGGUCUUUAAGUCAGGGGUGAAAUCCUGGAGCUCAACUCCAGAACUGCCUUUGAUACUGAGGAUCUUGAGUUCGGGAGAGGUGAGUGGAACUGCGAGUGUAGAGGUGAAAUUCGUAGAUAUUGGGAAGAACACCGGUGGCGAAAACAGGUAGCUGGGGAUGUGCUGACGCUGAGACACGAAAGCCAGGGGAGCGAACGGG
rnacentral:rRNA from 1 species